CCGAGUUUACAACUCCCAAACCCCUGUGAACAUACCUAUACGUUGCCUCGGCGGAUCAGCCCGCGCCCCGUAAAAAGGGACGGCCCGCCCGAGGACCCCUAAACUCUGUUUUUAGUGGAACUUCUGAGUAAAACAAACAAAUAAACCA
rnacentral:misc_RNA from 1 species